rnacentral:lncRNA from 7 species
UCGCUUUUGAAGGCACCAAAUUGGAAGCAGCUCACUCUCCCUUUUUUUGUAGGUAAAUCUUCAAACUACUCCUGCAGCAAUUGCUACCAGUUUAAAAUAUUGAGGAUUUUUUAGACCUCUCAAUAAUAUGUGUUUAUCUACAACAAACAGAAAACAUGGAGCCUGUUACAGGGUUCAAUUAUUUCUUAUUUGUAUGGACCUCCUGCUUAUGGAGAAGAAAACAAACAGACCUGUGUGUAAUCCAGAAGAACAUAAAACAGUCCGAGGCCAUUGGUUUCCUGUUUUGAAUGAGCCUGACAAGAGCCUGAGCUGUGCCUGGGAAAUUGCAGAGAUGCAAACAAACUGGUUUGGCAGGUGAUGGGAAAAGAACAGCUGUGUCACCACAUUUAAGGUGAACAUCAGAGGCAAAGGAAGCCUGACUCCUAAGGCAGCUGAGCAGCACUUAUGAGGUGUUGCUGUAGAUUUCCUUAACUUGGUGCUGAGCCCCACUGCACCUCAGGUGAUGUGAUGAUAAAGGCAGGACAGACAACAGCACAGCCUGUUAAUGUACUCAUUUGCAAACUCCUCAACUGGCCUAUGUUAUGUGAAGCUUUUUUUAAUUCAUGGAGUUGAAAGUAUCCUUUUCUGCUUUUCACUGACUUUAUUUAUUCAUUUUACAUGAUUAUGUGCAAGACUCUGGUUUUUCUAUGAAUAUGAUGCCUUCAGACCUGAAAGCACUGUACUGCCAUAUUCUUUUUUGCUGAGUCUUCCAGCGGGAAAACUAUGUAUCUGUUCCUCCUUUCCAUUCUAUAUUUGCUUCUGAAACCCACUAGCAGCAGAGAAGUUAUAUAUGGCCAUAAUCAUUUCACUGAAUAUCAAGUGGGCAACAUGAACCUGAUCCUCUCUGUCCCACAUGGUGGGUCAGUGGAACCUGAAGACAUCCCUGAUCGAGAGGCUGGUUGUUGGGAUGCAGAGACAUCUUCUUGUAUUUUCUCUCAUAAGUGUCCUCCUGGAAGCAUUCAAAAUUAUGAAAAGUGUAAAGUAUCUACCAAACAAGACAGGUAUACAAUAGAAGUGGCUCAGGCUCUUGCUGAGGAAAUCAACAAAAUUACUGAUGGUUUCUUUCCACAUAUUGUUAUAAACCACUUACAGAGGUUCAAGAUGGAUGCCAAUAGGGAAAAGGAAGAGGCCUCCUUUGGAGUUCCCCAAGCAGAACAGGCCUGGGAGGAUUACAUGGGAUUUUUGACCACUGCAAAAUCACAGAUAACAGGGGGCCUGAUUCUGGAUAUCCAUGGACAAGCACAUCCUGAACAGUGGAUAGAAUUAGGUUAUACACUUUCAAAAACUUCUCUUAACUCGGGUGUCCUUUCUGCAUCAAAUUCCUCCAUUAGAUAUCUGGCCAAUCAGCUAGUCGGUGUGUCUUUUGCGACUCUGCUUGCAGGGAACAGAAGUUUGGGUAAAUAUAUUGAAGAACAAAAUAACAGUUAUGUUUGUGUGCCUUCUCCAUCCAACCCCAGCCCAAAUAAUGGGAACUAUUAUAGUGGUGGAUACAUAACAAAGACUUUUGGCUCCCGUCAUUCUGGUGUUGUUGAUGCCAUUCAGAUUGAACUACCACAGUGGGUGAGGGCACCUGAAGAACGUAGCAAAUUCUGUAAAGCACUAGCAAAGGCUGUAAUGAAAUUCUGGCAAACUAACUACUGCAGCCAGUUCAAGCGUGAGUUUCUGCCAUGCUGAAAAAGGUUGUCUUAAUUAAGAUACCUUUCCAUAAAAUAUUAAUGAUCUGAAACAACAGAACAACUGAUACACCUAAAACACUUAAGCCUGAAAUAUAACUGUGGAUGCUAGAGGAAAAAUGGCCUUCAAAGGAAUACAGAGACAUCAACAGAGAAAAUUCACAGCUAAUACUCAACAAGCUUAUUAGCAAACAGCUUUGUGCUAGAUCCAGCAUUGAAAAGAUUGCUUGAAAGAUAUCUUUGGAAGUAUCAAUUGUCUGAUAAGCUUUUCUGUUCUUAAUUUCUUUCCUGUAGCAUCCUUUGUUCUCUAGGAUACAGUAAGUGUCUGUUUUUCUAGUUAAUUCUGUGCAGUGCUUUAGUAGAUUGUCUAUUCAAUAAAAUUGAGUGUCUCUGCUUUUCUUCUGACACU